CAGCGGCCGCGGUAAUACGUAGGUGCAAGCGUUAAUCGGAAUUACUGGGCGUAAAGCGUGCGCAGGCGGUUCGGAAAGAAAGUGUGAAAUCCCAGGGCUUAACCUUGGAACUGCACUUUUAACUACCGGCUAGAGUAUGUCAGAGGGGGGUGGAAUUCCGCGUGUAGCAGUGAAAUGCGUAAUAUGCGGAGGAACACCGGUUGCGAAGGCAGCCCCCUGGGAUAAUACUGACGCUCAUGCAACGAAAGCGUGGGGAGCAAACAAGAUUAGAUACCCUGGUAGUCCACGCCCUAAACGAUGUCAACUAGCUGUUGGGGCCUUCGGGCCUUAGUAGCGCACGCUAACGCGUGAAGUUGACCGCCUGGGGAGUACGGUCGCAAGAUUAAAACUCAAAUGAAUUGACGG
rnacentral:rRNA from 1 species